GGGGACAUGGACCCCCCCCUCUGGGGUGGGGUGACACCGUGUGUGUGUGUCCCCAUGUCCCCCCCCCCCCCGUGUCCCCGCAGGGCAUGGCGGAGCUGCACGUCAUCAGGCAGCUGGUGGGGGCCAGCGGCUUCCCCCAGCGCAGCCUCUUUUGCAAGUGGGGGCUGCACGCCGGUGAGGGGGGGGCACAGGGUGACAACAGGUGACAACAUCGACGUCCACUACGUCACCAAGGGCCUGCAAGGGCACCUGAAAGGAAGGUGAGGUAGGCAAGGAGGGGUUCGCCUGCUGCCCCGAGCAGAUCUAAACUUCCAUCCCUUCGUCACUGAGAUGCACUCCUUCUGCCUGAUGGCCAGAGGGUAGGGGAUCCUCCAUUUCCUCUGCUGUGUCUGCCUGACGCAUCUGUCCCAGGGCUGGCAGAGUACAGUUCAACCUUCUCCGACUCCCUGGUGCUCCUCAGCCUGCCCACCUCCUCCCGAAGCUCUGCCAGGAGGCUGAGCAGUUCUUCUACCUGGGCGCACCUACCACAGGUGGACUCACAGGAUGGGAUGUCAGGAAGAAUUUCUUCAUGCAAAGGGUGGAACCGGCUGCCCAGGGCACUGCUGGAGUCCCAGGCCUGGAGCUAUUAAAGAAAUGCGUGGACUUGGCGCUAAGGGCCGUGGUUUUGUGGUGGGCCUGGUGGUGUUAGCUGACGCUUGGACUUGAGCUGAAGGCCCUUUUCCAAGCGCAAGGGUUCUGUGACUCUUUCACUGGUUGAGUAGGCGCCAUGCAGUCACCGGGCCCAGGGAAAAGACGUCCUUGGUGGCCUCCAAGUUAGCUCAGCGUCAUGGCACCGAGUCACUGUGAAGGAGCUGCUGGAAUAACGAGACAACAACCUAGUUCUAUUAAAAUAUAUAUUGCUCUUU